ACACAUGUGAAUUCAGCUACCCCCACAUGCUCGCAUCUCUCCAGGAGAGAAACUCAUACUCUCUCACCAGAACUCAGAGUCUUCCUAAUAUUACCAGGUGAUCUGGAAGCCCUCAAAAAAGAAACCAUUGUGCUAAAGGAAGGUUCCGAAUAUAGAGUCAAAAUUCACUUCAAAGUGAACAGGGAUAUUGUGUCAGGCCUGAAAUAUGUUCAGCACACCUACAGGACUGGAGUGAAAGUGGAUAAAGCAACAUUUAUGGUUGGCAGCUAUGGGCCUCGGCCUGAGGAGUAUGAGUUCCUCACGCCAGUUGAGGAGGCUCCCAAAGGCAUGCUGGCCCGAGGCACGUACCACAACAAGUCCUUCUUCACCGACGAUGACAAGCAAGACCAUCUCAGCUGGGAGUGGAACCUGUCGAUUAAGAAGGAGUGGACAGAAUGAAUGCAUCCACCCAUCCCUUUCCCCACCCUUGCCACCUGGAAGAAUUCUCUCAGGCGUGUUCAGCACCCUGUCCCUCCUCCAUGUCCACAGCUGGGUCCCUCUUCAACACUGCCACUUUUCCUUAUUGAUGCAUCUUUUCCCACCCUGUCUCUCAAU
rnacentral:sRNA from 1 species